UUAGAAUGAGUCAAGGAAAUCCUAUGUUAUCCAAUCGUCUGUGCUCACGAAUCGGCUCUUUGAAAGAAGAAGCGAUUGUCGGAAUAACCGAAAGAAAAUAAGGAAAGAGUCUGCGCCGAAAAAUGGCCAGUCCCUCCAUUGGCGAGUCCAGUCAACUAAGAUAAAGUCCAGGAGCUACUCCAGUAAAGUAAACUCGGAGGGAAGGCAGGGCGGUGAAGGGACAAGACAAGCCCUUGCUUACUAUCUUUACGCUACGAUUUGGCAUAUAGCACAUU
rnacentral:lncRNA from 1 species